rnacentral:lncRNA from 9 species
GGAUUUUCUCGAACCAAUCUUCUUAAUUUCUAGUUUAUUGCCUUUGUCCUCAGAGAGGUUGUGGGUGGUUCAAGCCUCUGAAAUGAGACUUAUUUUAUGGCUCAGCAUAUGGUCUGUCUGAAUGUUGUGUACUCUGAGGGUUUGGGGUUUAGAGUGGAGCGUUCCCUGGAGAGUGAAGGUCCAAGGUCCGGAGUCCUUGGGAGAGAAGAAUCUCCACUCUGCCUGAUGCCCGGAGGAGGGGAGAGGGGGCCGUCCCUGCAGGUGAGAAGGCACAGCCAGCCCCUGACUCCAGGAGCCAGACCCUAGGCCAGUUUGUCCUCCCUGUGGCCCGAGUGAGAACCGGCCUUGAACUCUACCCUGACCUCUGAGGCCAAGAGAAAAUGUCUAGGGAUUUGCUCCAGGGAGGGACGUGUCCCCAAGGAAGGGGAAGAGAGGAGCCGUGGUCCCUAAAUCCCACUCUCUCCAGCUGCGAGCAGCAGACCCGUAGCAGAGGCUCGCCCUUCCUGGCUGCUCAUCUAGGUGUGGAUUUUGAGAUUUGGCCUUGCCACUGCCCUCUGCAAAUUUGCAGAGAUGGGUGAAUGCGGAAACAUGCCUGGCCGGGCAGGGAGGAUGGCCGGGAGAGGAUGCGUGUAUCAGAAUGAAGUCAGUCUUGCUCUGUUCCCCACCCCUCCCUCGUCUCCGUGCUUCCGCGCAUCUGCAGACAAAACAGGACUGUUUCCACAGGCAGGGGCAAGGUGGGAGCACGCGGUGCUCUCAGCAAACCUACUAGAACCUUUAGGGAAUUAUUUCAUGAAGAACAAGGAACACUUGAAUUCCUAGGGCCUACUUAAGCCAGAACCAGAGAGCUUUGGAAUUCUUUCCUUUCUGCCUUUCUUUCUUUCUCUCUCUCUCUCUCUCUCUCUCUCUCUCUCUCGCUUUCUUUCUUUCUCUCUCUCUUUUCUUCCUCCCUUCUUCUUCUUCUUUUUUUUUUUUUUUUUGCUUUUUUAGGGCUAUACCCACAGCAUAUGGAGGUUCCUAGGCUAGGGGUCGAAUCAGAGCUGCAGCUGCCACAGCCACAGCAACCCAGGACUCAAGCCACAUCUGCGACUUAUGCCACAGCUUGUGGCAUUCCCGGAUCCUUAACCCACUAAGCGAGGCCAGAGAUAGAACCCGUGUCCUCAUGGAUACUACUCCCACUGUGGGAACUCCCUGGAACUCUUUUCUUUGUGUGUAUGCCACAGACCCUUCUGACAACGGGGAAGCUCUGGGUGCCUUCUCCGAAUAGUGAUUCUAAAAUGCAUAUAAUAGAACAUCCAGAUUACAAAGGAAAGCAGUUACGUUGAACCCUGGUUCUCCCCUGGGGGAGGGGGACCUAGACUUUCAAGGAGCAAAGGAGGGAAACUCUGCAGACCGGGAAACAGUCUUUCCUGAGGCCAUAAUUCCAUGUUUCUGAAAUUGAUUACUUCCAAGGCAGGCCCAGUUGGAGGUUUUACUUUCAAAUAGGUUUGGGCAACUGCGUAGAAGACUGUCUUUGCCUGCCUUGGGCGAGCUCAUGGUUUCCGUUUGUUUUCUCACUAAACUGGGUGCCCAAACUUCUAGAAAACAGCCACAUGGGCUCAGCUGAAUUUUCUACUCUUUAAAUUUCCUUGGCUGUUUCCUGGGUGAGGGAAGAUGAUGAACUGGCCAGGGGGCCCAUGGGACAGUUAAAGGCUGACUUUGAUGAGGUGGUGGGGAGGCUUGGGGUUGGGGGAAUCAGAGAGUGUGGGGUUUUUUUUGGGGGGGGGUCACUUGUUGCGACUCUAGUUGGGAGUUCAUUGGACAGAGUGCAGCCCAGGAGAGCAGGAUAACUCUUGAUGGGCAUGAAGAGAAGCCUGAGGUUCAGAGGAGACCCAUGCCAUACCCUGAGAGGUAGCAGAGGCUAUGGGUCCUAUGAGAUCAGGUGCCAGUUAUGGAGAAUCUACUGGCAGCCACUUUGCUUUUAUACCCUAUUGUCAUCACCGCGCUAGGUAGGACCUGGGGAUCUGCAUUGUAUUCGUGAGACAGCAGACCCUGAGCACAGCUAAUUCAAGGUCACUCUGCUCCAGCUAGAAGUAGUGGAGCUGAGAUCUGAUUCCACAGACUCCCAGGAGCCCAGACCUUUGUUUCCAGUGCCAUAGGCCCCCUUUGGGCACAGAGGCCAUGGGUACGCCUCCUGGAAUCAGGUGACCUGGGUUCAAAUCCCAGCUCCACCCUCGAUGGACCUUGACCCCCAGAUUCUUCAUCUGUGAAAUGGAAUGAUUUUAUCACCUUCUUCAAGGACUCUUAGUGAUGAUGAAGGGAUGGUAUUUAAAGCGUCAGAGCCACCCACGCGCCUGACAGGUCUGUGUUCUACAAAUGUUGGCACUGCGGUUAUCAUCAGCCCAGCAGGACAGGGAGGCUGUUAGGGGGUCCCUGGCGUGUGAUGGCUCUUCUGUGCCCUCCUCCAGCUGUCCCAGCCGGCAGGCGUUCAUGAACUUGUUUUUCUGGUACGAAGGUUGCCCUGGUAUUCCGGAGUGACCCAGCAGGGCUGAGGUGGUUAUACAACGCUACGUGCCAGGCCAAGUUGAGCGCUUGCCUUGGCAGCCUGCUGAGCCAGUGCCGCUGUGGAGAGAGCCCCUGGCCUUCCGCCUGCUUUCCUGCUCUGGAAAAGCCUGACCCUUACUCAGAAUCAUCGUCCAGUCCCCAUGGCGCACAGUGGCCUCCCUCACCCACUCCUCCCCUUGAACGAACUUCUCUGGGGAGAUUCUGGGGACUCCCAUGUCCCCAGACAGAUGCUUCUCCUUCGUCUGUCUCUGUCCUACUAACUCUGCCCCCAGUGGUGAUUCGCAGGCGUGAGUGGGGUAGAGUAAGGACACACAGGGGUUGGAAGACAAGGGCUGAGCAUCGAACAGCCUGCUUUUUUGUAGGUUUUUUUUUUUUUUUACAUUUUCCAGUUUUAAUUUUUUAAUGGGUGUUCUUUUUAUUUUUAUUAAAAAAAUAUUUUUAGGGCCACACCUGUGGCAUAUGGACAUUCCCAGGCUAGGGGUCUAAUCAGAGCUGUAGCCACCAGCCUACACCACAACCUCAGCAACACCAGAUCUGAGCCGUGUCUGUGAUCUAUGCCACAGCUCUUGGCAACACCGGAUCCUUAACCCACUGAGCGAGGCCAGGGAUUGAACCUAAGUCCUCAUGGAUACUAGUUGGGUUUGUGACCCUCUGAGCCACAGUGGGAGCUCCUGAAACCAGCCUUUCACUCUUAGCCUAAGUCACUGGCCUUUGUUUAAUCUUUGCAUCAGAACACUUGGCUCCUAGGAAUCCCCAGGUCUCUGAACCUCACACCCUCCCCCAGGCAGGGGUCUCAGGCCUUCCUCUGGCCAGCGCAACUCACCUCCCCAGGGUCUCUGGUAACUUUUGGGCCGUAUGGUAAAUCCUUUGCUCUCCAUGCCGUCUUCUGUCCCGACUCUGGGACCUUGUUUUUUCUGCUUCUCGAUGUCCAGGCUGCUCCAUCUCUGCUGGUGGACAUGCUGCUCAGUCUUCCCCUUCCUGCCUUAAUUUCCUCCCACAGAGAGCUCUUAUUUCAGGAUCCAGGCCACAUAAAACCUUAAAAAGAGGGUGGCGGGCGAGCUGGAGCCCAAGGCCCGGCACAGAGGCCCUCAGGCAGCAGGGCUGAGCUGUCACUGGCCCUCCUGUUCCUGGGCCUCCCCUGGGUCGAGAUCUCUGAGGCCCUGGCGGGGGUGUGGGGUGUGGGGGUUGUAGACCCCUUAUGCUCCGGGAUGUCUGGAGCAUAGAUGAGACAGCCUGUGGGGGCUGCCCUGACCAUGGCUCCUCUUGGAUUUCUCACAGGCUGGUGAUUUGCUCUGCAGGUUUUCUUUCGUUCUUUCCUUCUUUCUUUUUUUUUAGGGCCGCACCCUCGGUAUAUGGACGUUCCCAGGCUAGGGGUUGAAUGGAGCUGCAGCUGCUGGCCUACACCACAGCUCACAGUAACUCAGGAUCCAAGCUGUGUCUGCGACCUAUGCCACAGCUCAUGGCAAUGCUGGAUCCUUAACCCGUUGAGUGAGGACAGGGAUCAAACCCGCAUCCUCAUGGAUACUAGUCAGUUCCAUUACCGCUGAGCCACAAUGGGAAUCCCCCCCCCCUUUUUAAAUGUUUGUUUGUUUGUUUAUUUUUAGGGCCACAGUCAUGGCAUAUGGAAGUUACCAGACUAGGGGUCGAAUAGGAGCUGCAGCUGCCAGCCACAGCAACACCAGAUCUGAGUUGCCUCUGUGACCUACACUACAGCUCACGGCAACACCAGAUCCUUAACCCACUGAGCAAGGCCAGGGAUUGAACCUGCGUAGUUUGGUUGUUGCUGCUGAGCCACAAUGGGAACUCCCUGCUGUGUUUGUUCUAAACCAGGAAUCAGCAAACUAUGGCUCGCACGCCAAGUCUGGCUCAUCACUUGAUUUUGCCAAUAAAGUUUUAUUGGAACAUGGCUAUGUCCUUCAUUUAUGUAUUGUCUGGAGCUGUUUUUCUGCCACAGUGUUGGAGUAGAGUUACUUGUGAGAGAAAUGUACGGCCUGCAAAAGCCUCAAAUAUACACUACCUGGCUUUUUACCACAAAUCCUUGUGGCUCCUGCUCUGAAUGUCAAGGGCAGCCUGUCCUAAGAGGCCACGGAUUUCAUUUUCAUCCGAUUGCAGGUGCGUGGGCAGUUACCAGCUGAAAACAAGCAGCUAGUAUGUAUUCGCAAUGCCCUCUCUAAGAGAGUUUUCCUUUGAUGCUCUAAUUCCACCGCACUAUUCCGGCGUAGUCAGAACUGAUUUUUCUGUGCCUUUCCACUCUCAUAUGUAAGAUGGUGUUACUUUCAUUUCUUUCCCGUCGUGGCGCAGUGGUUAACGAAUCCGACUAGGAACCAUGAGGUUGCGGGUUCAGUCCCUGCCCUUGCUCAGUAGAUUAACGAUCCGGCGUUGCCGUGAGCUGUGGUGUAGGUUGUAGACGCGGCUCGGAUCCUGCGUUGCUGUGGCUCUGGCGUAGGCCGGUUGCUACAGCUCCAAUUAGACCCCUAGCCUGGGAACCUCCAUAUGCCACGGAAGCGGCCCAAAGAAAUAGCAAAAAG